CCCGUUGUGGUGGGGUUGGAUAUCACAUUCGGCUGUAAUGGCUUUACAUUAUUUACUGAAAGGUCACCGGCUCGAUUCCGGUCGAGGGGA